AUGGUGGUCACUUUAUGGUCAGUCUGGUACAUACGCCGUAAAGCAAUUUAUGAGUCGAUCUUCCAAAGUCCACAUCAGACCAUCUCCUUUGUGUAUAUUGGUGAACUUGAUCAGCUAGCAAAUUUGGCACUCCGGCCGGUCGCGACAAGGGCAACACCGACGGAAGCCCGGCGGUGGCUACCCCCGGAAGCUGAUCAGGUUAAGGUGAAUGUUGAUGGAGCAGUGGCAAGACACAGAUGUGGUGGGGCUGUUGCGGCAAUCUGCCGAGAUGCAAAGGGUCUAUACUUGGGAUCCUCGGCGGUAGUUUAUCAUGGGAUAAUUGACCCAGUGAUUUUGGAAACAUAUGCUUGCAGAGAAGCUCUAUCUCUUGCAGAUGAUCUUGUGAUUCAGAAGUUUGUUGUGGCCUCGGACUGUCUGGGGUUGUGA
rnacentral:rRNA from 1 species